rnacentral:rRNA from 1 species
UACGAAGGGUGCAAGCGUUAAUCGGAAUUACUGGGCGUAAAGCGAGCGCAGGCGGUUUCUUAAGUCUGAUGUGAAAGCCCCCGGCUCAACCGGGGAGGGUCAUUGGAAACUGGAAGACUGGAGUGCAGAAGAGGAGAGUGGAAUUCCACGUGUAGCGGUGAAAUGCGUAGAGAUGUGGAGGAACACCAGUGGCGAAGGCGACUUUCUGGUCUGUAACUGACGCUGAUGUGCGAAAGCGUGGGGAGCAA